rnacentral:rRNA from 2 species
CGACCUCAGGUCAGGCGG